rnacentral:misc_RNA from 1 species
GAAAUGUGAUAAGUAAUGUGAAUUGCAGAAUUCAGUGAAUCAUCGAAUCUUUGAACGCACAUUGCGCCCGCCAGUAUUCUGGCGGGCAUGCCUGUUCGAGCGUCAUUUCAACCAUCAAGCCCCGCGCUUGUGUUGGGGACCUGCGGCUGCCGCAGGCCCUGAAAACCAGUGGCGGGCUCGCUGUCACACCGAGCGUAGUAGAUUUCUCAUCUCGCUCAGGGCGUGCUGCGGGUUCCGGCCAUAAAAAAGCCUUAUUUUACCCAAGGUUGACCUCGGAUCAGGUAGGAAGACCCGCUGAACUUAAGC